UACAGAGGGGGCAAGCGUUGUUCGGAAUUACUGGGCGUAAAGGGCGCGUAGGCGGCCCGCUAAGUCGAACGUGAAAUCCCCGAGCUCAACUCGGGAACUGCGUCCGAUACUGUGCGGCUAGAGUGCGGAAGGGGCAACUGGAAUUCUUGGUGUAGCGGUGAAAUGCGUAGAUAUCAAGAGGAACACCUGCGGCGAAGGCGGGUUGCUGGGCCGACACUGACGCUGAGGCGCGAAAGCCAGGGGAGCGAACGGG
rnacentral:rRNA from 1 species